CCCGGCUGCCGCACCCCGCGCAGCCCCCGCCGCGGCCCGGAGCGCGGCCCGCUCGCUGCGCUCGGCGGAGCCGCUGGCGGCGGUCGGUAGUCGGUAUCCCUCCGCCGGGGUCGUCACCUCGGGUCCGCGGGAAUGUCCCCCCUCGGGGCGGCCAGGGGGCGGCCGGGGCGCGGGUCGGUGGUGGCACCGGCGGCGGGGGUCAGACCCUGCCCGGCACCGCGGGGCCGCCGCGGCUGCUCCUUUAAGAGGGGGCCGGGCUAGCGGUGACCCCGCGCGAUGUCCGCCCCUUCCUGGUUGCCAUGGAGACCGCCCGCCGGCGUCCCAAAAUGGCGGCGGCGGAGCCGCGCGGGGCCGCUGCUCUCUCCGCCGCCCUGGAAGGAAGAAAAGAAGGAAGGAAGGCAGACCGACCGGCAGCCUGAGGCGGCACCGGCUUUAGCCAGGGCAUGUCCUCCGGGAAGGAACCCCUCCGUGCCGGUGCAGGACGAGGGGCUCCGUUAACGCCGCCAGGAAGCGACCCGGGAGGCGCCACCACUGCCCAAAUAUAUCCUGAAAACGAACCAAAAUCAGAUAACAUAAACCAUGCAAAAAAAGCUUCAUAACUGUCAGUCAAAGCUUUCCAGUUCACUCAAAUUUUAAUUCCGUACUCCUCAAAACACCUUCAUGUAAGUAGUGUCUCCAGUUUUAACUUCUGUACAUGUAAAACUUCUGGAUGCUAGUUAACCUUUCUCCAGGCUAUGGAAUCUCCUGCAAAGAGACCUGUGUCAAAAAUAGCAGUUGAAGGACUGCUCUGAGUUGUUAUGAAGGAGAAGUUGGUAUACAUGUCAGAAUAAACAUAAUAAAUAAAAAAUCAUUCUUGGCCAUAAAAUGUGUUCUAGGAAUCCCUCUAGUAUUCAUUGGAAUGGGCUGCCGUGGUUCUGUGCAAAAUUCCACACAUGAUCUGCUCGUGUAACAGCCAGGACUCUGUCAAAUAUGCAACUGCAGAAUUGUGUGUUUGGCCAGAGAUCAGCAACUGGGCUCUCUCAAAGACAUACACAGGACAUGUAGAUGAACAAACAGUUAUCAUACUUGAUCUAGUCCUGCCUGACAAGGAUGAUUUUCAGGUCAUGAAGUGAAUAGUUUCUCAAGGUAGUAAAUCCUUAUCAAUCUUGUUCUCUGUCUUGGGAUACCUCAAGAGUAAUUCUACUUUCAUGUUACCAAAGGUCAAACCCUGCCAGCAAUUUUGGGCAACAUACCAGCACCAGUCCUGAAACCAGUAUAGUCCCUUCUUCCAGAUUGCAUUUGCUAGUGUUCACAUUCUUGCAUAUUAACCAAAUCAGAACUCUCAAAAUAAUCUGCUUUGGCCAGUCAUAUAUUUUCAUUACCAACUGCCUAAGUGGUCUUUGAGGCAGGAAGGAAAAAAGGAGACUUAACAGAUUCUUCAGUUGCACAAGAUCUGCAUUCUUGCUUUUAAGUUAAUCACAAUAUGCCAUUGUAGGCUCUCAUGAAACAAUUGCCCAUGUGUGUUAUUGUUUUGCAGCAGCUUAUCCCACAGGGAUCAAAAUAGCAUUGCCUUGAGCUGGGUCAGUGUCUAUGCCUAAGGAUAGCCUCACUCCAGCCCCUUCUAAAGCUAUGAAACAUUUUAUUUUAGUUCUUUUGCAAAUACCUGUCCAUUGUCAGUGCUAGCUCUUUCACAGUUUAGACACAAGACAUGUUUGCCUCUUCUUGGUGAAAAUUUAGUAAAAUUUUAAGGUACCUGUUUUGCAUUUUUUAAAGUGAUCUAGAAGCCUCAGCUCCAUUCACUUGCAGAAUAAGCACAGCUUUGUCUAAACCUAAUGAUUUCUUUUGUCCAACUCAAAAUUUCCUUUAUUUCUUAUGCAGUCAAAGCUGCAGUGUGGAUGUAAAUGCAACUGUGUGAAAAACUUCACUAUAAAGUAAAAAAAACCCUCUACUAUGGUAUCAGCUUCUCAAUUAGAUGCAACUAUGUUAGAGUAGAGGUAGAAAAAACUAUGGUGAGAGGGUGCCUUUUCAUAAGUAAAAAUUUUGGAACUGUGUAAUUUAUAGUUAUCUCCUUUAAGAUAUUUCAGUAAUGUUAAUAUUUAUUCCACUUUUAUUUUGUAAACAUUUAAGUGAGGGUGAAAUGGGCAAUUUUUUAACCAAAAUACAUGGAAGUUAAUUGUUUUAUAACCAAUAGAUUAAUUUGCAAUUGUAGUAAAAAUGCAACAACACUGUGCAAGAGAAAAAAAGAUAAAAUUAUAAAAUGAGUGACAGAAGCAUUUGGAAUACUCUAAUUCUGAAAUCAAAAUUUUCUCGUCUUCUUUAAUCUACAAAACCCAACCAAAGCACAGGUUGUUGGGGUUUUUUUUAAAUAUGAUGGGGAAGUAAUAUAAUGUGUGAUAAAAUAGUCUGGGUAAAGAGAUUUAGUAGAGAUAAAGUCUCUAAGACUAAGUGAGAAUGUGACAUUUUCUCUCUAGAAGACACAAUGGCUCCUUCACUGUACAGUGGAAUGAGAUCUUGAACUGUAGUAACAAAUCCAAGGCUAAAAACAAAGACUGGGGAUUUAGGCCAUUCACCUGGGACAGAGGAAAACGUUUGUAUAUCUCCUGAAUCUCAACAGUGUUAUUUUCUGGAUUCUGUAGUCACCUUCCUUCUCCAACGAAUGUUUAACUAUUUAAAGGAGAAUAAUUUAAGGGAAAAUUAACCUCCAUAUAGCCUGUAAUCUGAGAAACUCUAUUUUGAGUUACUAGUUUUAAGCAAAGCAAAAAGCUGAAUCUGAAGAAGUUUGAAAUCCUAAUAAAGUGCACUGGGGAAGGAGAAAGUUUCUCAUAUUUGCCUUUGUACAGGGUUUCACAAUUCACACUGUCUGUCUCAGCUCCCCCAGAGGUUUCUCAGUGUACAGUAUGAGUCUGACAUGAGAGACUUGCCUACUUCUAUAGCUUCUGAAUGAGAGUAAAGGAAGAGUGAGACCCACAUCCUGAGGAAGGUGGCUCACCAUGUGACAAAUUUCAAAUAUUAUUUUCUCAUACAAUGUAAAGAGUUCUAUGCUUCUGGUAAUCUACACUUCAGAUUCAUUUUGACAAUAGAUACUUUCUAAAUAGUUUAUUUUUUGCUAAUUUUCACUUAAAUAUUUGUUUUAUCGGUUAAAAAAUUGCAAUUACUUUUUACCUGAAGCUUUGUUUGGUUCCUGCUGUUUAGAUUCGGGUUUGCUCAUCCUUUCCUCUUCUCUCUUUUUUAAUGACAAAAAUGCCUAUGGAAUAAGCAGUGUGGUAGUGAAUUCCCUUACCACUUGCACCUCCAAAUAACAUUGAGAAUGGAAUGUGUCCAUGGUAACCAGGAUGCACUCAUAACACUUUCCAUUCUUCAUCUUUUAAUCUAUGCAAAUAGUAGAGUAUUAUAAAAUCUAUGCAAUAUUUUUAUUUGAAAUAACCACAUGCUAACAAAUUACCAAGGUAACUGCAAUUUGCCCUGGGUAUUUGUACAUAAAGCAGUUUUUUAAUGGAGUGGUGCUAUUGACAGUUUGUUCCACUGUAAAUCAAAGAAUAAUGUUUCAAAAAAUCACAGUGGUGUUCAAUAAAAUUACUUGAAUAUUUUACUUUUCCUGUGCCUCCACAUGUUGGCCUGAUCUUUCCAUUUGGCAGAGUUCCAUGGCAGUGUGAUUCCUGGUACAGCAUUUAAGAGGAGGCAAUGUUAUGGAAGUAUGUAUUUCUUUAGUUUUUUUGAAAUUCCUAUUAAAAUGCCUUCCAAUUUAUAAAACAAUAAUUUGGAAUUGUACAACAAUAUUGCAAAAGAAAGUACAAGAAAGUACAUUUGUAUACCCAUAUUAAAACAUCUGCUGUAAUAGACAAGGAUAUUUCAUUUACAGAGUAUUGGCUUAUAUUCCAUUUUAAAGUUUGUUAGAUUCUGAAAAGAUAAAAACCUUUUUCAAGAGUCUAAACACACAUAUGCUCACUCUAGUGUUUAGAAUAAGUAUGUACUUGGGCACUCACAUAUAUUUAAGCUUACAUUAUAGAUAAAUUCACUCAUAUACACAAAAUAACAAAAAAAAUUAUAUAGAAUACUUACUGUGAAAAGUUUGUCUUGCUUACAGCAGUGCAGAUUUUGAGUAUUGUCUAUCUGUAUGCACUUUGUUUUGUUGUACUGUAUAUCCCAGACUGAAAAGUGUUGAUUAAUGUAUUUUAUUACAGAUCCAAACACAUUGUAAUCUCUGGUGCAACAGAGCUCUGCUUUUUAAAGAAUCAGACUUAUAAAAUUGUGUAUAGGUAAUUUUCUGUAUAGACUUGUAGAUUUAAUCUGUAGAACGCUGUUAGGUAUGCAAGUUCAAAAGUUUAAAAGCAACAGUUAUUAAUCAGUUUUGGUAAGUGGUUGUGGGGACAGGUAGCUAUUUUGUUUUUCAGUUACACUUGGCAUUUUCAUGCUGAGAAAUUGGUUUGUUUGUUUGUUUUUUAAGGAAAUGUCACUUCCAGCAGUAACAGGAAAAGGCCAGGAGAAAGCCUAUUAACCAUGUUUCUUUUCUCCUUCAGCAAUGGGGUUUUUCUGCUAUAUACUGUAUUCAUGUGGACCAUGUUGAAGGAUGUGCAAGAUGAGGAACAUGUUAGAGAUGUCUUUUCUUUCUCUACUGGUGUAUCAGUUUUGUUUUGACCCUGUUCUCACCUCAUGUUUUCCACAAAUAAGAAUGGAAGAAGCUGCUUCUCCCUACACUGCUGGAGAUAAAAAGAGCUUUAGGAAGUACAGUAGGGCAUUCACUGUCCUAUUAUCCCUGUGCUGGGCUGCAAACAUUCGAGUUCUAAAGCCUGCCCAGGUAGCAACAUCAUCUGUGAAACAGAAUGACAAGGGCUUUAUAAUCCCUUUUGCAUUGAAUCCUCAUUACCACUGGUGUAUGAAAUUAUGUUAUUUUAACAUGGUAGUCUAUAUAGUGUAUGUGCCUUGCAGAAAUGUUAAUUCCACUGUAUCAAAGGUUUCAAUGGGAUAUUUAUUUUUCAUAUAUUAAAUUCUAGAAUGCAUUUUGGAUGAAUAUGGGCUUUUUUGCCUUCAAAGAUGCAACUGUUUCACUGCAAAGGACUAGAGACUGUUUAUUGUAAAAUAAAAUGAAUUUAUGUAACUGAG